rnacentral:lncRNA from 1 species
UUUUCAAAAUUUUAACAGAUUUUUCAUUUAGCUAGAAAUGGUUAUAAAAUGCAUGAGGGCCCAGGGAAAGUAUUGGAAUAAUUCAAGUUUUCCAAAAUAAUUCUUUUUCUUUUGACUCUUUCUUGCUUUCUUUCUUUCAAACAGGAUAAGAAUUACCUAACUUCAGAGAUUCUUUUUAUACUACCUAACCCUUUCAAGUGGCAUGAUAAUCAAAGGACAAGUGAAGAAAAGAUUUUGAAUAAGCACAUUAGUGGCUAUAGUAAUUAUUUCUACUUUCUCAGUAAUAAAGGGCAAGCUUUUUUGUUUAGAAAUUCAACAACAACAACAAAAUGUGUUUAUAGUUCCUUUAAAAAGCAGUGACCUUUUUGAAAUGGAAUCCCUGGGAAAAAGUCUUGAAAUGUGAAAUUCUUUGAUUUUCACAAAUAAACCAUAAACUAUAUAACAUUAAAAACAAUUACAUGGCUUUCCAGUACUGACCUUCAAAUUGAUGACUCUCAUUCAAAGAUUAAAUGCUAACAAUUUUACAUUCUCCAAAUCCAGAAAAAAUCAUUUGCAAACAUGAAAAAACUGAGCCAAAAAGAACAUCAGAUGGCUAAACAGAAAAUAGAAAGUACCUGUGUGUUUUAAAAAAGAACAUUUAAGAUUUAAUUAGAAGAUACUGAUCAUAAAUAAAUCAUACAUGGUAGAAACAAAGAUAAAAUUUCUAUAGGACAAAAUAUUGUACUGAGAAUCAGUAAUAUCUAAUUUGGUGCAUCAGUCAGCAUAUUUGGACAUUAUGUUUGGUUCAAAGCCCAGUUUUGAUGGCUGUGAAGAGUUCAAACUUCCACUCGAAGUCAGAAUCAUGAAUCCCUGCCCCACUCAAGAGAAAUAAUGCCUUUAAAAUAUUUGUUCCCCAUGUCCUUUUUUUUUUUUUUUAAAUCAACUCUAGUAGGCUCUGUUUUUCUAAGCCACGGGGUCAACCUGACAUUUCCUUGAGGACUGCACCUGUCAGCUAGAAUCACCAUUCUUCCAACUGCUGAAUCAGUCCACCCUUGUACCACUAGUUGGUAGCAAUACAAGGAGACCUUCACAUUUUGUAAAUUUUGGCUGGAUUAGAAUGGGCUCUAGGCCAAUGUCUUUAAGACCAGUACAGAUUUUCAGACAUCUACACAAUCAAAUUUCAGAGGACCCUGGAAAUACUUACCAUCUCAGACCUGGAUAGACUGUUUGAUUCCAAGUGAAAAUCUUUUAUCAUGUCAUCCAGAUGACUACCAUAUACUAAGGCCAUAAUAAUUUUUCCUAUUGUGGCAGGAUAUCGUUCUAACUUGAAAAGCCAAGCUUUUAGAAGGAGUGCUAUAAAUAGAGUUAAUAUUAGACAAACUACCACAAUUGGAAGGAAGGGACAGAAAUCAGUCACUGAGAUCAAAUUUCCAACCUUUGUGGCUUUGAUCCUUUGCCAACCAUGCUGCUUCUCUGUAAGCUGAUGGAUAAAGGCUACAACAGAGAACACCACUGAACUGAAGGAACUUUCCUUUUUCUGUAACAAAGGCUUAUUAAGGGUUCACAGGACAGACUUCAACCAUUCAGAGAGAAUAGUUUAUUGUUUGCCAGUAGAAUUCUGGUUAACAAUGAUAUUGUACUGUUUAAUUCAUCAGGACAAAAUAAGCUAAAAUAUAUGGGCCAACUCACUGUCGUACAUCUGGGUACUCUAGAAUCAAAGCCUGAGACAGUAUUUUAGGUGCAUAAAAUUUACUGAAGAGGUACACUUCAGGGGAGAGUAUGACAAGCAGGAGAGGGAAGAGGAAAUGGCUGUACCAGGAUGGUCCUGUAUACAGGCUGAUCUGUGGGAUCACACCACAGAAUUAAUCAUAACCCUCUCCUUUAACACAAAGGGGCCAGCCAUUCGUAGCCCCAUAUCCAUCCAUCACUAGCUGCUCAUAGCUGGAGGAUCAUACCUCUUGGAUCAGAUACAGCUGCCAUCAGCAAUUCUCUUGAAGAGCGGGGAGAGAGGAGGGAGGUGGGCAUGCAGCUGUGGGUCUUUAGCAACCAAAACUCACAGCAGUUGGAAAAGGAAUGUAUGGGUCUGGUAAAGGGAUUCCGGCUGGGCACCGACAGCAUCCACUACGUUAUUUGUGAUUCGCUCAGCAAUCAGAAAAGCAAAUUCUACAGACUGGAAAGGGACUCCUCUGGCAUCAACAGGUGAAGUCAUUGGGAUGGAAUGGCUGGCAAUCUUACCCAGUUGCCUUUAAUUGUAUUAUACCCUAAGACUUGUGCUUCCUUUGCUUGUUAACAAUCUACAGCCCCUGACAUAAUGUAUCCUUAACCUAUUUUGGUGCUCUUAAUUCAGAAUUAUUCCUUCUUCCCGCAUGAAAGAAAAGCUGCCAGUUUUGAGAAUAUCCAUUACGUUAAGGGCACAAGGCAAAAUGUUAACAUUCAACUUAAAGAAAGAGCAAUCGACUUUACAAACCACAAAGCACAAUUUUUUUAAAUAGAGGAAUUAAGUUUUCAAUUGCAAGAUCUGGGGGAGUGAAGUUUCCUUUCUUAACGUAUAAAUUUUAUUUGCAUUCCAUGAGUCACGUUACAUGGAAAUCCUUCACCCAGUAAGAAAAUGUACACUUCUGCUGUUGUUUGUGACCCUCCACAUCUCUCAAAAUUAUGGGCACUACAAAUUCCAAACAUGCCAUGAGUCAUUCUCCCAAUCUUUCCUCUCAGACUUUGUGCUGGAGAUGGAGUGAUUCGCAUUUGCAUUGUUGUUCUGUGACGUACUGAAAUAGUCCAAACAAACCUAGGCCUUUAUUAUCCAUCAGGCAAAUAGGAAAUAAGAAUCCAAAGGCUUGACUGUGAUAAAUUCCAUAGUGUUUACCCAGAUGGGUGUUUUGAACCCGUUAAAAAACUCAGAGGUACCGUUUUUGCACUUGCAACUGUCCUCUCCAUUUUGAGGUGGUUAAUUUCAGCUGGAUGUCUACAGAACAGACAGCUUUAUAUCUGAGUUCAUUAUAAAAACAGAGAAAGGAGGAAAAAAUUUGCCUAUCUCUAUAGGGAAGUCCAUUUCUUUCUCUUUUGACCUAAUCAAUAUGAGAAGGCAUUGAAAAUAAUGGUUUCAAAAAUCUUAACUAGAAAUGCCAGCUUGGCCACAAAAGGCUUUGUUAAAAGGGCAUGUGGGAAUCCAUGCAGAGGGUCAUCAUUAUACUAAUCCCCCAGGAUGGCUGAUUUCUAUACCUCUGAGUCCAGGUAUUUGUCCUGGAUUCUGUAGCGAGCCAAGGCAGUAGGAGAUUUUUUUCUGAAGCAAACAAAUCUCCCUGUUUCAUACUGAUCCAACCUAAUUCUAGCCACCCAGCCUACACAUUAUAUAUUUCCUAUUUUGAGAAAAACAUUCCUGGAACAGAGAGUGGGCAGUGGACUCAUUUCUAUUUUCCACUAAAUUAAGACACCUUACAGAUAAGGAAAGCCACAUCUUCUGUGACAGAGAAGAGGGCAGAAUAUUUGCUGCACUGAAAAAAAUUACAAACCAAGAACCAGAGGAUAAGAGGAAAAUGGCAGAUUGACUUCUGGUUAAAGGACAGCUGUAAGCUAUUACAAGCUCCCUCUGGUAUCCCCCCUUAUUCCUCACUCCACCCACAUCUGUAAAGAAAUCAUUUCCCAAAAGCCGAGCAAAAUUCCAGUUUUGCAAGGGCUUCUAAACCUGGCUUCAUAUAAUCAAGGUAAGACCCUCAAGUUAUAAUUAGCUUUCAUUGACCCUUCUCCAAACAUCUUUUAGCCUAGGGGCAACAAAAGCUGUCUGUCAGCAUGACCAAUUCACUGCUAUUUUUAUCCGGGGCUUAGUGGCCAUUCUUGUGGCCACAAUUGUGUACUGACCUGCUCUAGAGGGAGUACUGAGGGUCAGUAGAUUUGUUCACACACAGAUCAAGUUGAUAUACCAUCUCUGGAGAUUAGAAUCCUCAUUUGUGAGAGUAAAUGGCAGCUUUUGGUUUUAUUAUUAGUGCAAGAGAGUGAGACUUUAUUUUUAAUAGUUGUAUUUAGCUGAGGGGAUCAGUGAAUACAUUUAUGAAAUGUAUUUAUAACGUAAAGAGAGGAACAUGGAGAAGAAGGGAAGGGCCAAAAACUUAUUAAAUUUUGUGGAGUUUAUAGGAGACUAAGAUCUGAAUUAGCACUAGUACAAAAAAUUUACCUCUUUAAUGAGCUUGAGCUCAGUCUCAUAAUUGAGAAUUUUAUUACCUCUUUAGAAAUUCAACUGAGAAAAAUGCAACCGAGAUGGACAAAAACACUAAAACCAGAGUAACAGCCUUCUUGCUAAUAGAAUUAACUGAUAUUUAUAUUGUGUUUACAGGUGCCAGAUGCUGUUAAGAGUCCAAUCCUAGUAUGAAGUGUUAUCACUUUCAGAACACAAACUAGUCAGUGGGAUUGAAGCCCAGCCAUAGCAUUAACUAGCUGUGUAUCCCGAGAAAUACAUUUUUUUCUAGGUGUUUGUGAGUGUAUGUAUUUGUUUUGUAAAAUGAGUGCUAGAAAUAGACCCCACCUCAGAGGUUGCGGUAAGGUUAAAUGAGUUAGCACAUGUAAAACAUUAAGUGUAGAAUCUGGCACAAGGAAAAAGCUUAAAUAAUUCUUGACUAUUACUAUUAUCCUCUCACUAAAGAUGAAAAGUAAGAGAUUUAAAAGGUUAAAUAACUUUCUCAAGGUCAUACAAUGAAUAAUGAACAGAGCUAGCAUUUGAAUUCAGGUGACCUAUCUCUAAAGUCCACGUGCUAAACCUUAACACUGCCCAGACAAACACAUUCCUCAGGAUCCAGUGUGAUUUGAACUCAGCCCAUUCUGACACAGCAGGAGCAGUAUACCAAUAAGAUGAAGAUGGGUUUCUUUUGGCCAAAAGCUUGUGGCAGACCAUGAGUCUAAGAAGAGAGCAGUGUAGUAACUAAUCAGUAUAAAAGUGGACAAAUUUGAAGGCAGUGCUAAUUCCUUGGUGGGAGGGGUCAAGAGAGGAAAAACUGCUGGCUAAAACUAGACUUCUCUCAUGUGAAAUUCAAGCAUGCUUAUGAAAUAAAAAACAUAACACUUAUGAGAUAAUAACUUGAGGGCAAAUGUUUCACCUAAAGCAAACAGAAAUUACCUUUUGUGAUAGAAGAGUUCACAAAUUCCUAACUAAUAAAUGCAUCUCAUAUUCACAUUGUGCCAUACAGUUUAGCAUAAGGUAUCUCACUUCAUCUCUGCCAAAACUCCAUGAAACAAAAAUUAUAAACUUUAAUUCAUGGAUGAGAAAAUAGAAAGGUUAAACCUGACCCCCUUGCUGUACAGUG